rnacentral:lncRNA from 1 species
UGAUGAUCAAAUGCGAAGGAUAGCUAACUUGGUAUAAACAAUGCCAAUGAAUAGCAGACAAGUCGUAUGGCAAGAAGGAAUCACUUACAGUCCAAAAAAUAGCAGAAGGAACAUCAGUAAAUGAUACCCGAGCGAGUCCAAAGUCACAAAGCUUCAGUUUGCAGUCCGCAUUAGCAAGUAUAUUUUUUGGCUUUAUAUCUCUAUGGAAAACAUGUGCUGAAACAUUGAAAGGAAAAGGUAAAAAAGUGCACAAAUUGGAGAAAACUCUACAGCAAUUGAUAUGUAAAAGAAAGCAACCUGUGUGAAUGUAUUUUAAACCUCGAAGAAGCUGGUACAAGAAAAAUUGAUGAUGUUCAGGGGUUAGAUCAUCAUUUAACUUUAUAACACGGUGAAGAUCAGAUUCCAUCAACUCAAAAACAACAAAUAUAUCUUUAAAUUCUCUUCUACAUGGGGGAAGCAUUAUGUGUUUUAUUUGAACUAUAUCUGGGUGUCGCAGCAGCCGUAGGAGUUUGAUCUCUCUAAGAAUGCGUGUAGCAUCAGAGGUGUGCUCAAAGAUAUUGGUCAUCUUCUUAAUAGCUACCUUCUCUCCAGUGUGAGUAUCUAUUGCAGAUGCAACCACACCAUAACUCCCUUUGCCAACUACUUCCUUUAUUUCAUAUUGACUUGCCUCACCAUAUUCAGUGAAAAAAUCUUUGUCAAACAUUUUCUGAUUAAAUAAAAUAACCAUUAGAUUCCCUCUGAAACAAAAUCAAUACACAAAACUUACACUACAAGUGUGCUCACAGCGUACUUGAAGUAAUACAAUGAAAGUGCGAAACCCUUAACAUUGAAUAGAUCUCAACCUUCUAAACAUUAGUUAUUCAGGGUUGCAUUUGGGAACUUGAUGAAAGGUGGAUUUGAAUUUCAAAUAUAGCAUAAGUUGUGCGGUAAUACCCAUGAAUGUAUAAGAUUUAUGAUUAUGCUCAAAUCCAUGGAUUUUGUUAGAUUUCUAUUACGUAGUGAAUUUGUACUACCGAGACUGGAAAAGUGAAUUUCAAAUAUAUCCCAUUACACUCUUUAAAAUGUUUAGGUGUAUGGAAGUUUUACUAAUAUUUUUAUACAGCAACUACACUCAUCUUCAUAAUUUAUGGAGAAAAUCAAAUCCAAAUUCACUACCCGAAAAUCUUGUUUCCAAACAAAGAACUAAAAUUUUAACAUCAAUAUUAUUCAAAGAUACGUGUUCAUGCAGACCUCUAGCAACACCAGCUAGUAAAUUAGAUGCAAACUUUAGCAUAUAGACAAGAUAAGGACAAAAACAUACACAUCAAAAACGAUUUUUUCCUAUCUAGUUAUAAAAUUUAGAAAUGUAAGAAUAAACUCUAUGAUUGGUAAAUGUUUUGAGACUUUAAAAAUCCCCAAGCAGACAUAUUACUUGUUAAAAAUCAAGAAAAGAAAAUCGACCCAAUAAGCUUGUAGGUAUUACCUUUAUUAUUCAAGUCCUUUUCAUCCUAAAGGCUAAAACAUCAAAAUUUCCAUUCUAUAAGCAAAACUUCAAAACAAUAUCACCCAUCAAGCAGAUAUUUAAACUCCACCAAACAGGGAAAAAAAAAACCCUAAAACUCAUUAAAAUAUAUAUAUAAAAAUAUUAAGGAGCAAGAAGAAAGAUUACUCUUUUUUUUUUUUGUCGGCGAACGACUCCAAGCCAGAAGCUGAAAAAGCUUGAAGAUUGGAGACACGAGCUUUAAAUAAUCACGGAGAGGAAGAUAUCAACUGCUCAAAUAGCACCUCC